AACAAAAACAUGUCCUUUUGAGAAUGAAUUUAAGGUCGGGCCUGCCCCCUGAAUGUAUUUAAAGGGCCGCGGUAUUUUGACCGUGCAAAGGUAGCAUAAUCAUUAGUCUUUUAAUUGAAGGCUGGAAUGAAUGGUUUGACGAGGCACUAACUGUCUCUGUAUAAUAAAAUAGAAUUUAACUUUUGAGUUAAAAGGCUUAAAUAAUUGUAAAAGACGAGAAGACCCUAUAGAGCUUUAUAUAAUGUUGUAGUUAUUAUGUAUAGGAGUAUUGAUUUUAAUUAUAUAAUUGUAUUUUGUUGGGGUGACAUGAACAUAAAAUAAACUCUUUAUAAUUUUGUACAUUGGUUUAUGAAUAAAUGAUCCAUUAGUAGUGAUUAGAAGAAAAAGUUACCUUACGGAU
rnacentral:rRNA from 1 species